rnacentral:rRNA from 1 species
AGUGAACGCUGGCGGUAGGCCUAACACAUGCAAGUCGAACGGCAGCACAGUAAGAGCUUGCUCUUACGGGUGGCGAGUGGCGGACGGGUGAGGAAUACAUCGUAAUCUACUUUUUCGUGGGGGAUAACGUAGGGAAACUUACGCUAAUACCGCAUACGACCUACGGGUGAAAGCAGGGGAUCUUCGCACCUUGCGCGAUUGAAUGAGCCGAUGGCGGAUUGGCUAGUUGGCGGGGUAAAGGCCCACCAAGGCGACGAUCCGUAGCUGGUCUGAGAGGAUGAUCAGCCACACUGGAACUGAGACACGGUCCAGACUCCUACGGGAGGCAGCAGUGGGGAAUAUUGGACAAUGGGCGCAAGCCUGAUCCAGCCAUACCGCGUGGGUGAAGAAGGCCUUCGGGUUGUAAAGCCCUUUUGUUGGGAAAGAAAAGCAGCAGGUUAAUACCCCGCUGUUCUGACGGUACCCAAAGAAUAAGCACCGGCUAACUUCGUG